UCCGAAUUAGUACAGUGGUUAGUAUAGCCGCCUUUCAGGAGAUCUUCAACGAUCAACUACGCGGUCGACCGGGGUUCGAACCCCCGAUUCGGAA